rnacentral:lncRNA from 1 species
UUUAUUUGUAUGAUCUGGAACUCUUCCUUGCAGACUUCCGAUUUGCAUUUUAAUUUUAUUUUUUAUUUUUUUUUAUUGUGCAGGUAUGGAAAUUCUUCCCCAAAUAUGUGUAGAUACUUCUGAUGUGCUUUUAACCACUCAAAGAUUUGGUACACGAGAAGAGGUGAUUAAAUGGAUUAAAGAGGUUGGAAUCCAUAAUAAAUUAACCGUUAU